AGCGAACGCUGGCGGCAGGCUUAACACAUGCAAGUCGAGCGGGCGUAGCAAUACGUCAGCGGCAGACGGGUGAGUAACGCGUGGGAACGUACCUUUUGGUUCGGAACAACACAGGGAAACUUGUGCUAAUACCGGAUAAGCCCUUACGGGGAAAGAUUUAUCGCCGAAAGAUCGGCCCGCGUCUGAUUAGCUAGUUGGUGAGGUAACGGCUCACCAAGGCGACGAUCAGUAGCUGGUCUGAGAGGAUGAUCAGCCACAUUGGGACUGAGACACGGCCCAAACUCCUACGGGAGGCAGCAGUUGGGAAUCUUGGACAAUGGGGGAAACCCUGAUCCAGCCAUGCCGCGUGAGUGAUGAAGGCCUUCGGGUUGUAAAACUCUUUCGUCGCACGACGAUAAUGACGGUAGUGCGAGAAGAAGACUCCGGCUAACUUCGUGCCAGCAGCCGCGGUAAU
rnacentral:rRNA from 1 species